rnacentral:rRNA from 1 species
UUGGCCUUGACAUACUAAGAACUUUCCAGAGAUGGAUUGGUGGCUUCGGGAACUUAGAUACAGGUGCUGCAUGGCUGUCGUCAGCUCGUGUCGUGAGAUGUUGGGUUAAGUCCGCAACGAGCGCAACCCUUUUCCUUAUUUGCCAGCGGGUAAUGCCGGGAACUUUAAGGAUACUGCCAGUGACAAACUGGAGGAAGGCGGGGACGACGUCAAGUCAUCAUGGCCCUUACGGCCAGGGCUACACACGUGCUACAAUGGUCGGUACAAAGGGUUGCUACCUCGCGAGAGGAUGCUAAUCUCAAAAAGCCGAUCGUAGUCCGGAUCGCAGUCUGCAACUCGACUGCGUGAAGUCGGAAUCGCUAGUAAUCGCGGAUCAGAAUGCCGCGGUGAAUACGUUCCCGGGCCUUGUACACACCGCCCGUCACACCAUGGGAGUUUGUUGCACCAGAAGUAGGUAGUCUAACCGCAAGGAGGACGCUUACCACGGUGUGGCCGAUGACUGGGGUGAAGUCGUAACAAGGUAGGCGUAGAUGA